GUCCCCAUCGUCUAGAGGCCUAGGACGCGAGCCCUUCAAGCUCGUUACGCGGGUUCAAAUCCCGCUGGGGACGCCA
rnacentral:tRNA from 1 species